CCAGAACUAUUCUCCCAAUUUCAUCCAUGAUGAUCAUCUGAGAAGCCAGAAGGGCAAAGUCCCAGAAUGAUUCACCAAAGGUGCAUAUGGUAUUCAUUCUCCAGAGAAAAAAUAUGGAACAGGAGAAAUAGCAACAGUUACACCAUUUGCAUUUGUUAUUUUUGUGAAUGGAUAUUGUUUUUUAAGAGUCGGAGG
rnacentral:lncRNA from 1 species